CCUACGGGUGGCAGCAGUAGGGAAUCUUGCACAAUGGGCGAAAGCCUGAUGCAGCGACGCCGCGUGAGUGAUGAAGGUCUUCGGAUCGUAAACCUCUGUCAGCAGGGAAGAACGGUCACUGUGCUAAUCAGCAGUGAAUUGACGGUACUUACUAAGGAAGCACCGGCUAACUCCGUGCCAGCAGCCGCGGUAAUACGUAGGGUGCGAGCGUUAAUCGGAAUUAAUGGGCGUAAAGCGCUCGUCGGCGGUAUGUGAAGUCAAGUGUGAAAGCCGCGCGCUCAACGUGAGAACUGCCUUAGAAACUGGCGAACUGGAGUGCGUGAGAGGAUAGUGGAACUCCAGGUGUAGGAGUGGAAUGCGUAGAUAUAUGGAGGAACAUCAGUGGCGAAGGCGACUAUCUGGCAUAUAACUGACGCUGAGGAGCGAAAGCGUGGGUAGCGAACAGGAUUAGAUACCCGAGUAGUC
rnacentral:rRNA from 1 species